GCACAGAGGAUGUAUUAACCACACAUCUUCUAGCAAUGCGCUCAACUGGCAGAAAUGAUGCUGGGUAUGAUGUGUCUGUUCCCUGCAAGCCCCAAACUUCUAUUGGCUUUCCAUAAAAAUGUCUGUCCGGGUGGAGAUGAAGCCAGGAAACUUGUGCAAGAACAUGUUUAAAUGCCGUACCCUUUGACACAACAUUAACAACUAUAAACUGCUUUAUAAUGGCUGGUCGUAGUUCUGCUAGAGGGUCACGGACGGGUUCCUCAAAACUGUUAGUGUUUCCACAUCACGUAGCAUAAACACAUGCUGACCUUUAUGCUCUGCAUCUAUCGAUUGAGUAAGUUACAUUCGUAUAUGUUACCCGUUUACAUGUCAUGGCAAAACAUUCAACCUCAGUGACACAAGGGUACAUCUGAUGAUACAUUGUCAACAUUGCAUGUCUGUCAGACUCAAGAGUGUCUGGUGGAAUGGAGAAAGAGGCACCACUGUACAGGUUUCUAGGGAAAGUCGUUCUGCUGACACCAAAACACUGCUUUACAUAAAGCAUAUCAGCUGUUUCAUUGCACGACAAAGUCCCAACCAUUUGUCUUCCUAAAAUACUGGUCCUUCCGUAUAACAAUAACCUCGUAUGUGAUUGGAGGACCCUUAGACUCCUCGUCCAAUCACGUCUGAGGUCAUAGGCGUGACUGAUACAGCAGUACUUGCAAGACGAGCAUGCAAACGUGUUACUAUAUUCAGAAGAACUGUAUCUCCAGUUCCUUUGUUUGGUUUUUGCUGCUUCGUGAAUAAUGGCGGGACGACGUCUCGCGUUCAACUCGCCUUCAACUCCUCUCCGCGGUCACCAACUUUCGGCCAGUCCGCAGACAGACAGAAGAAGCUGCUGAAUGCUCUCAGUGGAUCGUCUCGUCAACUCCAACAACAAACCGCCGAUAUCAACGAGCGGUUCGCUCCACUGGAGCGUUCGGGACUCUGCGGGUUUCUGUCCAUGGAGGAGAGGAACCGACUCAAAGAAGAGGAGACGGGCGCACAAUCCCACGAUAGCGGAAGCGGUGCGCCGUCUUCACAACUCUGAGACGAACUACAGGCGCUACGAACCGGAGCAAGGGUCAGAUUUAAAGAAUAUGCUUUCAUUCUGCGGUAUAAGGAAUAUAUAUACGUAUGGAUACCGAUCAUAACUGUACAUGUUGUUUUCACAGACUAACCUCGCCUCAUAAUGAGGCGGUGACCUCGUAUUUGCUCCGGGAAAAGUCCAGAUUUAGACGACGUCAUUGUGUGUAAGUGACACUGUUUCUCCUUCCUUGUUAAAUGUUACUGUGACUUGCGUUUGAUUUUCUUUUUGUAUUCAUACCACUCAUUUAAUUGUUUUGCAGCCGCCUGUGAGACGUAUUUUGAGACGUACGCAGGAGCUUCAGCUGCGAAGGAUUCAGCGCGGAGUCGAGCGAGGAGAAAGAGGGUCAGAGUUUAUUUGCUGACUUUUUUCAGGUGCAUUGAUCGAUGUGUUGUGUCCGUACGCAUCGCAUCGCACAGUACUGAUUCAUUGUUGUUUUUACAGCUGCUGGAAUCGAGACAAAGUGUGCUGGCUGAUGACGAGGUGGAACGCUGGAAAUCCGCCACCGUGGAGCUCACGUCGGACGGAGGGGACGGCGUUGUUGGCGGGGUCUCGGGGUGGAUUGUACGGUCGACACACACACACGAGCCGCCUGCACAACAGACCUGCCUCGGAAAACACGGCGCCAGUGACGGUCAACAACCCCGAGGAGGCAAACGGACAGUUUACUGAGCUGUAGUUUUUAAACCGCCGUUACCCAAGUGUGGGCAGAUCCUCACUUUGUAUGUAGUUGUUGUUUGUGUGUUGUUAAUAAAGCUUUUUCUUUGCAUAAA
ensembl:lncRNA